rnacentral:rRNA from 1 species
GAUGAACGCUGGCGGCGUGCUUAAUACAUGCAAGUCGAACGGAGACAUUAUAGCAAUAUGAUGUCUUAGUGGCGAACGGGUGAGUAACGCGUUGGUGACCUGCCCCGAAGUGGGGGAUAACAGCUCGAAAGGGCUGCUAAUACCUCAUGUGGUCAUAAGGGUUAGAGGCCUUAUGUCUAAAGGAGUAAUCCGCUUCGGGAGGGGCCUGCGUCCCAUCAGCUAGUUGGUAGGGUAAUGGCCUACCAAGGCGACGACGGGUAGGGGACCUGAGAGGGUGGCCCCCCACACUGGCGACUGAAACAACGGGCCGACACACCUACCGGGUGGGCUG